rnacentral:rRNA from 1 species
GGAAAGUCGUACAGGGUACCCGUAUCGUUUCACCUCGUCCCAGGGUUUCCGUAAUGGUGCCGCACGGGUGCGUAACGCGUGGGAAUCUGCCCUUGGGUUCGGAAUAACAGUUAGAAAUGACUGCUAAUACCGGAUGAUGACGUAAGUCCAAAGAUUUAUCGCCCAAGGAUGAGCCCGCGUAGGAUUAGCUAGUUGGUGAGGUAAAGGCUCACCAAGGCGACGAUCCUUAGCUGGUCUGAGAGGAUGAUCAGCCACACUGGGACUGAGACACGGCCCAGACUCCUACGGGAGGCAGCAGUGGGGAAUAUUGGACAAUGGGCGAAAGCCUGAUCCAGCAAUGCCGCGUGAGUGAUGAAGGCCUUAGGGUUGUAAAGCUCUUUUACCCGGGAUGAUAAUGACAGUACCGGGAGAAUAAGCUCCGGCUAACUCCGUGCCCCAGCCGCGGUAAUACGGAGGGAGCUAGCGUUGUUCGGAAUUACUGGGCUAAACCACGUAGGCGGCUUUGUAAUUUAAGGUGAAAGCCUGGACUUAACUCCAAACUGCCUUUAACACUGCAUCCUUGAUCCGGAAGGGUGAGUGGAAUUCCAGUGUAGAGGUGAAAUUCUAGAUACUCCCAAGAACACCGGGGAAAAGGCGCUUCUGGGCUGC